rnacentral:rRNA from 1 species
CCUACGGGAGGCAGCAGUGGGGAAUCUUAGACAAUGGGCGCAAGCCUGAUCUAGCCAUGCCGCGUGAGUGAUGAAGGCCUUAGGGUCGUAAAGCUCUUUCGCCUGUGAUGAUAAUGACAGUAGCAGGUAAAGAAACCCCGGCUAACUCCGUGCCAGCAGCCGCGGUAAUACGGAGGGGGUUAGCGUUGUUCGGAAUUACUGGGCGUAAAGCGCACGUAGGCGGAUUGGAAAGUUGGGGGUGAAAUCCCGGGGCUCAACCCCGGAACUGCCUCCAAAACUAUCAGUCUAGAGUUCGAGAGAGGUGAGUGGAAUUCCAAGUGUAGAGGUGAAAUUCGUAGAUAUUUGGAGGAACACCAGUGGCGAAGGCGGCUCACUGGCUCGAUACUGACGCUGAGGUGCGAAAGUGUGGGGAGCAAACAGGAUUAGAUACCCUGGUAGUCCACACCGUAAACGAUGAAUGCCAGUCGUCGGGCAGUAUACUGUUCGGUGACACACCUAACGGAUUAAGCAUUCCGCCUGGGGAGUACGGUCGCAAGAUUAAAACUCAAAUGAAUUGACGG